rnacentral:lncRNA from 1 species
CUUGGGACAACAUGCAUGACUGCUUAUAGUGUUCCCCUUUCAGCAAAACAAUAAGCUCCAAAAGUUUUAGCAUCCAGCAGUGUAGAGCUAGAGGAAGAGGAGAGAAAGACGAUUCAAAGAGAUGAUAAAAACUGCGCUGGUGUGUUUGGGAAUACGAGGCAAAAGGAAAAUGCACAUUAGAUAUAUGCUUGAGGUGCUAAAGGGUGAGUACCACAUGCUAUCCAUAUUUGCAAUUCAACUCUUUCUCCAUCAGUGAACUGAUAGGCGGAUGUGUUGGAGGAGGAUGUAGAAGUCAGAAUCCGGAAAGUGCCACCUGAGCAUUAGUUGCCUAUGU